GACGAACGCUGGCGGCGUGCUUAACACAUGCAAGUCGAACGGUAAGGCCCUUCGGGGUACACGAGUGGCGAACGGGUGAGUAACACGUGGGUGAUCUGCCCUGCACUUCGGGAUAAGCCUGGGAAACUGGGCCUAAUACCGGAUAGGACCACUGCCUGCAUGGGUGGUGGUGGAAAGCUUUUGCGGUGUGGGAUGGGCCCGCGGCCUAUCAGCUUGUUGGUGGGGUGAUGGCGUACCAAGGCGACGACGGGUAGCCGGCCUGAGAGGGUGACCGGCGACACUGGGACUGAGAUACGGCCCAGACUCCUACGGGAGGCAGCAGUGGGGAAUAUUGAACAAUGGGCGCAAGCCUGAUGCAGCGACGCCGCGUGAGGGAUGACGGCCUUCGGGUUGUAAACCUCUUUCAGCACCGACGAAGCGCAAGUGACGGUAGGUGCAGAAGAAGGACCGGCCAACUACGUGCCAGCCGCCGCGGUAA
rnacentral:rRNA from 1 species